rnacentral:rRNA from 1 species
UACGGAGGGUGCAAGCGUUAUUCGGAAUUAUUGGGCGUAAAGGGCGCGUAGGCGGCAUGGCAAGUGGAUGGUGAAAUCCCUCGGCUUAACCGAGGAACUGCCGUCCAAACUGCUUCGCUUGAGACCGGGAGAGGUGAGUGGAAUUCCCAGUGUAGCGGUGAAAUGCGUAGAUAUUGGGAGGAACACCAGUGGCGAAGGCGGCUCACUGGACCGGUACUGACGCUGAUGCGCGAAAGCGUGGGGAGCAAACGGG